AUACGGAGGAUGCGAGCGUUAUCCGGAUUUAUUGGGUUUAAAGGGAGCGUAGGUGGGAUAUUAAGUCAGCUGUGAAAGUUUGGGGCUCAACCUUAAAAUUGCAGUUGAUACUGGUUUCCUUGAGUACGGUACAGGUGGGCGGAAUUCGUGGGGUAGCGGUGAAAUGCUUAGAUAUCACGAAGAACUCCGAUCGCGAAGGCAGCUCACCGGGCCGGAACUGACACUGAUGCUCGAAAGUGCGGGUAUCAAACAGGAUUAGAUACCCUGGUAGUCCGCACAGUAAACGAUGAAUACUCGCUGUUUGCGAUACACUGUAAGCGGCCAAGCGAAAGCGUUAAGUAUUACACCUGGGGAGUACGCCGGCAACGGUGAAACUCAAAGGAAUUGACGGGG
rnacentral:rRNA from 1 species